rnacentral:rRNA from 1 species
UACGUAGGGCGCAAGCGUUAUCCGGAAUUAUUGGGCGUAAAGAGCUCGUAGGCGGUUUGUCGCGUCUGCUGUGAAAACUGGGGGGCUCAACCCCCCAGCCUGCAGUGGGUACGGGCAGACUAGAGUGCGGUAGGGGAGAUUGGAAUUCCUGGUGUAGCGGUGGAAUGCGUAGAUAUCAGGAGGAACACCAAUUGCGAAGGCAGCUCGCUGGGACGUAACUGACGCUGAGACGCGAAAGCGUGGGGAGCAAACAGG